rnacentral:rRNA from 1 species
GGGGGCGCAGCAGGUGCGAAACCUCCACNAUGUACGAAAGUGCGAUGGGGGAAUCCUAAGUGCUGGCGCAAUGCGUCAGCUUUUCUCGAGUCUAAAUCGCUUGAGGAAUAAGUGGUGGGUAAGACCGCUGCCAGCCGCCGCGGUAAUAGCGGCGCCACAAGUGGCAUCCAUUUAUAUUGGGUUUAAAGCAUCCGUAGCCGGCCUGAUAAGUCUACUGUGAAAUCCUAUAGAAAACUAUAGGGCGUGCGGUAGAAACUAUUACGGCUUGGGACCAGGAGAGGUCAGAGGUACUCCUAGGGUAGCGGUAAAAUGCUGUAAUCCUAGGGGGACCACCUGUGGCGAAGGCGUCUGACUGGAAUGGAUCCGACGGUGAGGGAUGAAAGCUAGGGGAGCGACCCGGAUUAGAUACCCGGUUAGUCCUAGCUGUAAACGAUGCUCACUUGGUAUUGGAAAUCUUUCGUGGAUUUCCAGUGCCGAAGGGAAACCGUUAAGUGAGCCACCUGGGGAGUACGGUCGCAAGGCUGAAACUUAAAGGAACUUGGNCGGGGGAGC